UACGUAGGGUGCGAGCGUUAAUCGGAAUUACUGGGCGUAAAGCGUGCGCAGGCGGUUGGUUAAGUCAGCUGUGAAAGCCCCGGGCUCAACCUGGGAACUGCAUUUGAAACUGGCGGGCUUGAGUAUGGCAGAGGGGGGUGGAAUUCCGCGUGUAGCAGUGAAAUGCGUAGAGAUGCGGAGGAACACCGAUGGCGAAGGCAGCCCCCUGGGCCAAUACUGACGCUCAGGCACGAAAGCGUGGGGAGCAAACAGG
rnacentral:rRNA from 1 species